GUUAAACAUACUUCCUUUAGCGUGGCGUCCAUGGCUUUAAAAGACAACGAGCGAAACUAUGGGAUAAAUAAACAUCCCAGCUCGCAUGAAAAAGAAGAAAGUCGUUAUUUUUCUGUAAAAUUCAAAAAAGAACAAUAACUCUUGAAAUGAUGGAUCAGCGCUUUUCAAUCCUUCUUUUCCUGAUGCUGUUCAUCACCUUUGCACUCUCGAAACCUCUAAGUCUAGAAAAACGCUUCGGUGCAAGGAAGGGGAAAAGAGUCGAAUUCCAGAGGGAAGUGUUACAAGAAGUAGAGAGAAAACCCGAGAAUACCGAGGCUGGUAAAUCACUUCAUGUGUCAAGUCAACUGGGAAAUAAACCAGCUUUUGAAGAAAAAACACGUGCUCAAUGGCAAGUUUACCAUGUACCUCAAGUCGAAGAGGAAGAGUACUACGAAUAAAAAAAAUUGUUUUUUUAAUAAUUUGUUUAGCAUUGAAUAUGUGGAAAUUUGUCAGCGCAAAACGCAAAGAAUAACAGCCUAAAUAAUAACAGAAAAAGACACAAGAUAAAUCGAAUAAGGCUAAAUGAAUGAUAAGUGACCGUAACGAUAUUUAAGAAGUGACCCACAAGAACUCUAGAGAAAGGCAUUAUGUUUUUUACUAAAGGCAGGUUUUGUAUAAACAAGGAAGCUUAAUUAUUGUAAAUAACAAAAUAAACCAGAAUACAAAGAAUACAAUACAAAGAA